GGUAUACAUGCCCUAAAAAAUCAAAUCGAAAGGGAGAUAUAUGGUGUCCCAAUUAGUUGUAACCCAAGAGGGGGUGAAUUAGGUCUAAUGAAACUUAAAUGCUUGAUAGAAAAUUUAAAACAAAAUCAAAUGAUAUAAAAAAUCCAAAAAAAAAAAAAAUUAAAUAAAAUAAAGAAGGGGAAUAUGCCCCAAUAUUCAAUUAAAUUGAAUGAUUUUUUCUUUCUCAAAAUUGAAUGAUUUGAAAUAAAUAACGAUGACUUGUUUCCUAAUUCAAUGGACUUGCUUGAGAUUUAGAUGGAAAGAAAUCAGUAGGAGACAUCCAGUUGAGCCUAUGAUGGAAAAUCUCUACGAAUGGAAAACACGCACAUGGAAAGAAAGAAAAUUGCCUAAGAUGGUUUGAUUUAUUUUUAAUGAUGAAUGAAACCCUAACCCUAUAAGAAGGAGGCAUCCGCAAAGGGAGAGAGGGCCACACAAGAAGAGAGGAGGAGAAAAAAAUAAAAAGAGUUUCGUGCAUCCUUGGGACAUCUAGGAAAGGCGAGGGAGAGAAGAAAAUUGUUUGCUGAGAAUUCAGGAUUGGACGUGCCCACACAAUCAGCUUGAUCUUGACAAUCGAAUGCAGCCCUAUUGUGUUAGCAAUUUCAGGAUUGGAGGAGAAGAGAUCAAGAAGAGAGAAAGAGGAAAAGGAAGCUAGGGCUGCAAGCCAAUAAAAAGAAAAGAAAAAGGAGAAAGCACACAAAAAGGAGUACAUCUUCAAAAGGUUGUAGGGCUACUUUGGAGGCUUGCAACUUGUUAAGGUUUGCUUUUUUCUUAUUUAUGACUUAAAUCUUGCGUCCUUGAUGUUUAUGGAUUAAGUCAAAUUACUUUCUUGAUUUGAAUGGUUGUGGGUUUCCUUUUGAUCCAUAUUUCUUGUUAUGUGACUAUAAUGGUUGUUGAUUUCCUUUUGAUUCAUGUUCCCUUUUAUGUGACUACAAUGGUUGUUGGUUUCCUUUUGAGUCAUGUUACCUUUUACGUGACCACAAUGGUUGUUGGUUUCCUUUUGAUUCAUGUUUCGUUUUAUAUGACCACAAUGGUUGUUGGUCUUCCUUUUUUGAAUCACGACUCCUUAUAUAUGACCAUAAUGUGUUGUUGGUUUCCUUUUGAUCCAUGUUUCAUUAUAUAUGACCAUAAUGGUUGUUGGUUUCUCUUUUAACCAAGUUUCCUUAUAUAUCAGCACAAUAAAUUGUUGAUUGCUUUUAAA